rnacentral:rRNA from 1 species
UACAGAGGUCUCGAGCGUUAGGCGGAAUCACUGGGCUUAAAGCGUGUGUAGGUGGAUCGUUAAGUACCUUGUGAAAUCCCACGGCUUAACCGUGGAACUGCUUGGUAUACUGGCGGUCUUGAGCCAGCUAGGGGCUACCGGAACAAAUGGUGGAGCGGUGAAAUGCGUAGAUAUCGGGAGGAACACCGGUGGCGAAGGCGGUUCUCUGGGCCUUACCUGACGCUGAGGAGCGAAAGCGUGGGGAGCGAACAGG